CUCAUAGCGUAUAUUUAAGUUGUUGCAGUUAAAAGCUCGUAGUCGGAUUUUGGCUGAGAACGGUCGGUCCGCCGUUAGGUGUGCACUGACUGGUCUCAGCUUCCUGGUGAGGAGGUGUGCUUCAUCGCCACUUAGUCACCGUGGUUACUUUGAAAAAAUUAGAGUGUUCAAAGCGGGCUUACGCUUGAAUAUAUUAGCAUGGAAUAACACCAUAGGACUCCUGUCCUAUUUCGUUGGUCUCGGGACGGGAGUAAUGAUUAAGAGGAACAGUUGGGGGCAUUCGUAUUUCAUUGUCAGAGGUGAAAUUCUUGGAUUUAUGAAAGACGAACUUCUGCGAAAGCAUUUGCCAAGGAUGUUUUCAUUGAUCAAGAACGAAAGUUGGGGGCUCGAAGAUGAUUAGAUACCAUCCUAGUCUCAACCAUAAACGAUGCCGACUAGGGAUUGGCGGAUGUUAAUUGAUGACUUCGCCAGCACCUUAUGAGAAAUCAAAGUUUUUGGGUUCCGGGGGGAGUAUGGUCGCAAGGCUGAAACUUAAAGGAAUUGACGGAAGGGCACCACCAGGCGUGGAGCCUGCGGCUUAAUUUGACUCAACACGGGGAAACUUACCAGGUCCAGACAUAGUAAGGAUUGACAGAUUGAGAGCUCUUUCUUGAUUCUAUGGGUGGUGGUGCAUGGC
rnacentral:rRNA from 1 species